GAUGAAGAACGCAGCGAAAUGCGAUAAGUAGUGUGAAUUGCAGAAUUCAGUGAAUCAUCGAAUCUUUGAACGCACAUUGCGCCCUUCGGUAUUCCGUUGGGCAUGCCUGUUCGAGCGUCAUUUAAACCUUCAAGCUAUGCUUGGUGUUGGGUGUUUGUCUCGCCUCUGCGUGUAGACUCGCCUCAAAACAAUUGGCAGCCGGCGUAUUGAUUUCGGAGCGCAGUACAUCUCGCGCUUUGCACUCAUAACGACGACGUCCAAAAGUACAUUUUUACACUCUUGACCUCGGAUCAGGUAGGGAUACCCGCUGAACUUAAGCAUAUCAAUAAGCGGAGGA
rnacentral:misc_RNA from 1 species